rnacentral:lncRNA from 1 species
CCUACUCCUAAAGGGCCAUCUCCCCUCCUUGCCUUCUUUGCUGUCUCUGUGCACUUCAGGCCACAUUCCUCUUCUCCCCUCUGAACUCCUGGAGCUCUUCUUGGCUUGAUCUCUUCUGUAUACAGCAAUAAAUGUCACUGAUUCAGAGACAGGAGGCAUCAUUUGACAUUCAAUCGGGCAUUUCCUUGUGAUAGCUCUUAUAUCACUGUCUAGAAUGAUUAUUUAACUUUUCAUGUCUGUAUAUCUUGUCUUCCCAAUUAUAUUUAAGAUCCUAGAGGGCAGAGACCAGUAGAAGGGGAUGAUGUAUGAUUUGUGACCACAUUAGCUCAAUAAUCUAUGAAGUGAUUUAUUGAAACCACCAAAUCUCAUCUAGAUGGGAGGUGAAUUUUAAUAGGAAUUCAGUCUCUUCCCUAGAUCACUGAACAUAUGAUCACAGCCACGUAUUUAAAAUUCUGUUUGCUAAACAUUAGAUCAUAUCUUCAGUGGUACCUAGCACAAAGGUAGUAAAAUUAUUUGAAUGUAAUUUUAACAGUAACUUCAAAUGAGAAACGAUGGAUUUUUAUGUAAACUAUAUAUGAUAUCUGGAAAAAUGGAGGGACAGUAGUUUUUUCAUGUAGAUGUAUUUUAAUGUCACUCACCUGUGAUUUAGCAGAUCCUAAUCAACAUUAAAUUUUAACCACUCUUGGUUUUAUAAUAGCAACCAUCAUACUGCCAGCAAAUGGUAUCUUAUUUACUCUCAUUAGCCCUUCCUUAUCAUAUAUAUUAGUCAUUUAAAAUAAUUGCAGAGGCUUUAUGUUCACCCUCCAUUUGAAUCUUAGCUUGAUGCCAAAAAUAAUGACUCAAGGGCUGACAAAUUGAUACUGCCUUAUAAUAAAUUUAUGAGGAGUUUAUCAAGCAUGUGCACUGUUCUUUGUCAAGCAUCUUGUAGCUAAACAUAGCAAGCAGACCAUUUAAAGUAACCAUGCUCACGGUAGAAGCUUUUAAGAAUGAUCACAGCUGUAGCUCCUUGAAAAGGCUGAGAUUAAAAAAAAUCACCCUGUGAUCAAUUACUUCUGCUAACAAAUACUUUGGUGAAAAUUUUAUUUUCUGUUGUAAAAAAAAGCUUUAUUUUCAUAUCAUGUGUUGAGUUUUUUAAAAGACCUGUGAAAUAUUAGAAUAAUGCACACUGGUUGAACUUAGGGAAUAGGUAUUCUAACUAGCUCUGUAAAUCCUUGAAAUCAAUUAUUUACAUUAUAUAUAAGGAAUAUUAAAGGAAACUCGGGAAUUUAGACUGUAAAAUGCUGGGCCUUUCAACAUGAGAGAAUAAGAAAUAUGACUAUGAGCUUUUCCUCAAAGAUAAAUACUCUAAUCUGACUCGAAUCACUACAUGUUAAACAUACAUUUUCCCUAUUUGCUGAAUUAAACUAGGAGUUAAUUUGUUUUACAGAUUCCGCAGAAAUUGCAGUGGCUUUGAGCACCAGGCAAACUUACUGAGAAUACAAAGAUCAUGGGUUAAAAGAAAAGAUUCUUUGUGUUACGUCUUCAUGUGUUCAGAUCCCAGAGUCCCUGAAGCAAUAUCAGCCAAGCAUGCCACAUUCUGAUCUUGUAAAUAAAACAUGACAAUCUGAAGGUCAGAAACUGUUUUACCAGGGUCCUCUGACUGCUAAAAGGAGGACCCACAAUUGACACACAUCUUCUGUACAAAUGUCCUUUACUCUGAUGAGUCACCAGAGUUCAAUGUAUAAUCACAUUUCAUACGCUCCCUUCACAUUUCAUAGGCUCCCUUCCAGAGAAUUGAUUAGAAUAACACCCAUUGACUCUUUGCAGUUAUGGCAGUUUAUAUAAUAUUUAUAGUACCACACUAUUUGUUAAUUUGUUCAUUAUCUUGUAAAUUUAUCAUGAUUUCAUCAUGAAAAUGUUAAUAGAAGUUAUAAAGCUAGUUGGAAAGGUGUACUAUAAAAUCAGACACCAUGCAAAAUUAAUUUAAAAUAUACUGUUAAUCACUCACAAGAUACCAAAAAAUAUGAUGAACUAUUUUCAGAAAAAUCUAUUUUGAAAUAAUGCAAUUAUCAGUGAUUAAAACUGAUUGAGUAUCCAUUGAACAUGACAUGAUUUUGAGUCAGAGAACAUACAAAUCAAAGGCACAUUAGAAGGUUUACAGAGGAGGGGAUCCCCCCAGACCAGAAGAGGACAGGUACUGAAGCUGAGCAGGGACUUUAAAAAGGGUUGGUUAUACUUUCUGGGUGGUGCCCUGCAAUGGGUUCUGGGCCAAGAAAGACCCUUUAAGUGCAAAGAAAGUGACUGCUUGCUUUCAAUGAUAACAGAUCGGAGGCUGAGGAUUCCCCAUCAAACCCUUCCACCAAUUUGGGAGAGACCCCUCUCGAAGAGGCUAGCUUUAUAAAAAAAGGCCUUAAGAAAAAGAAGAAAGGGGAUGAUAUAUCAUGUCCCUUAAGAAGUGGCCCAGAGCUAGAACUAGUGGUUGAUCCAUGACCUCACUGGACAUCUUUGUAACUGGAGAAGAUCCCCCACAGACCUUGCUAUGACACAUUGGCCUCUGGAUGAGCUAUCUUCCUCUUCCCCAGCCCUGGAUUAGCACAGCACAGUAGCCAAGAGCUCCAGAAUUUAAUGGGAAGAGAAAUGGUUGAUGCUAGGCCCUUCAUUGGUGCAGAUAUACUAUAGAACAACUUGCUGAGACUUUUAAAUGUAAUUAGGGACCACUCAGUUGUGGGUUAAAAUAAUCAUUUGAAAUAACAAAAUUCUGUGUUAGAGGGCUUUACUUAAUAUUCUGGUGAAUGAGUUCAGUAUUCUUAAGAAAUUAGAGAAGUAAAUAUGAAGUAUAUACCCUAGGCAGACUUUACUUUGUAAAACCUAUACAAACUUAAGGCAAACACAAUAACACAUUCAAGGCAUUUAACAAGGAGUUGUUUAAGAAUCAGAAUAUUCAAGUGUUAGAUUUUUUUUAAUUAAGGCUAUCAUGGUUAUAUUUGUUAGGAUAUGCACAGAGCUAUUACUUCUCUAUUCUGAAAUAUGCUGUCUCCCAUAGAGAACCAAUUUACCCAUCAUAUUUGCCUGUAGUAUGCCAGCAUGGCUAUAUUUUGUAUUAUCACAUCUAAGAUUGAAUCAUUCAAUAAAAGAAGAUUUAAUAGGUGACUAACAACACUCACUUUUCUUUAAAGAAUAAAAUACAUAGAAUUUAAAAAGAGUAAAGAAUAAAAUAUCAGAGACAGAAGCCAUGCAUCUCCAUCUGACUUAACAUGCACUAGGAUAGACCUUAACAUCAUAAUUCACAUGUCAUGUAGAUCAGUGCUUCUCUAGCUAUUGUCGUAGACCAAUACCUUUAUAAAUUAGUGAGAAUAAAUUGUUAGGGAAAUACUUAAAAGCAUACACAGUGUCAGCCCACCGAUCACACAGUAUUUUUUAAAGUUUCACAGAUGUUUCUACAUGCUUAUUUUCAAUCUCUGUCCUUAUUACAGACCAGUAACAGUUUGUGGACCAAUGUCGGUCCAAGGACCACCCUUUGAGUGACCCUGGCCGAUAUAAGUUACAUUCACUACAAGUUCCAUAGGUCAAAAUUAUAUUUUUAUUUAAACUUCAUGUCAAAUAUUCCUUGAAAUAAGAGAGCCAUUGGCAGUGACUUAGACAUCAUCACCCCUUUUCUAUUAACUUUUAUUUUAUCACUUAAUGUAUGUUCAAAAUAAGAUAUCAUUCUGUGCUAAAUAACUUUUGAAAAGUGUAAGCUACCAUCACUCGUUCUCCUGGGUAUUUAUACCACCAGCCUCCAAUCUCAUUCCUUAAAUAAUUUAAGAAAAAGGAGCAUUGAAUGUGGUGUAUACCUGUGUCGUUUUUCUUUCAACCUUAUUUGCAGAAGUUGCAUGCUAAUUCUGGGUGCAAAUUCAGUUCUGUACAUAUGUUCAGUUUAACCUCGUGUUUUUAAAACAUUAGACUUUAAAUGCCUCUAAAUGAGGCAUUGUCAAAUGCCCAGGUCCAGAUAAACAUGAUCCCGGCUCUCUCAGCCUUUGGUUUCUUAGCCAGAGCAUCCUGCUGUAGUGGCAGAGGGUAUGUUGGAGGACAAAUCCAGCUGAAAUAGAAUUUUCAAUCUGCAAUAGAUUAUUAUGAUGCUUUCUGUGCAUUUUAUACAUGUUCCUUAAAUGCUUUUAGAUUCAUUUUCCUCAUUUAUAAAAUGCAGAAAAGAUAAUACUUAGAUCACAGGUUUCUUGGGAAGAUUAAAUGAGGCAAAGUAAAUGCAAUGCCUGGCAUGUGUAGUUGAGCACACAAUAUUAUUACUUCCCUUCUGUAUCUACCUACCCAUGCCUCGUUUCCCCUCACCCUACCCCUGCCCCUGCUCUUUGUACCCUUGGUAUUUUGCCUCUGGUAAAUGUACUGCUUUGCUGGGCUGGAGAGGAGGUUAAAUGAACUCAUCAAAAGUAUACCGUUACUAAGUAUAGAGGAAAUACUAUGCUAAUACUUGCAGCUUUGCCACCUGGAAAAAAGAUGGCUCAAAGAGGGCACUAAGUGAAAAGGGAAGCCCUGAAG